UACGUAGGGGGCAAGCGUUGUCCGGAUUCAUUGGGCGUAAAGAGCGUGUAGGCGGCCAGGUAGGUCGGUUGUGAAAACUCGAGGCUCAACCUCGAGCUGUCGGUGGAAACCGUGUGGCUAGAGUCCGGAAGAGGAGAGUGGAAUUCCCGGUGUAGCGGUGAAAUGCGCAGAUAUCAGGAGGAACACCGGUGGCGAAGGCGGGACUCUGGGCCGAUACUGACGCUGAGGAGCGAAAGCGUGGGGAGCAAACAGG
rnacentral:rRNA from 1 species